UACGGGGGGAGCAAGCGUUGUUCGGAUUUACUGGGCGUAAAGGGCGCGUAGGCGGCCUCCGCAAGUCAGUUGUGAAAUCUCCGAGCUUAACUCGGAAAGGUCAACUGAUACUGCGGGGCUAGAGUGCGGAAGGGGCGACUGGAAUUCUUGGUGUAGCGGUGAAAUGCGUAGAUAUCAAGAGGAACACCUGCGGCGAAGGCGGGUUGCUGGGCCGACACUGACGCUGAGGCGCGAAAGCUAGGGGAGCGAACGGG
rnacentral:rRNA from 1 species